rnacentral:rRNA from 1 species
AUACGGAGGGAGCAAGCGUUAUUCGGAAUCACUGGGCGUAAAGGACGCGUAGGCGGGUUUGUAAGUCAGGUGUGAAAUCCUACAGCUCAACUGUAGAACUGCACUUGAAACUACAGACCUAGAGUAUGGAAGGGGCAGAUGGAAUUAGUGGUGUGGGGGUAAAAUCCGUAGAUAUCACUAGGAAUACCGAAAGCGAAGGCGAUCUGCUGGGACAUUACUGACGCUGAGGCGUGAAAGCGUGGGGAGCAAACAGGAUUAGAAACCCCAGUAGUCC